GCCUGUCUGCCUUCACAACGAAUAGAGGUAACUAUGUGUGAUUGCCUGUGUGAGUGUGACUGUCUGCCUGUGUCUGUGUGUGUAUAUGACUGUCUGCCUGUGUGUGUGUGUGUAUAUGACUGUCUGCCUGUGUGUGUGUGUAUAUGACUGUCUGCCUGUGUGUGUGUGUAUAUGACUGUCUGCCUGUGUGUGUGUGUAUAUGACUGUCUGCCUGUGUGUGUG